AGAUGGAAUCUGUGGAGAUUUCAGAGCUCAGGAUUCAGCUUUCACCGGGCGUUGGUGCAUUAGUCAUCACCAAACACCUCGGUCAAGUCCAAACCAGAAAAGGCUUCCCCUUCUCUGGCUUAUGGAACCCAGGUGUUGUUUGUGCUCAUGGGGAGAAGCCUGGGAGCUACCAGAACACAGAAGAGGGGCUUAACCCGGAGGUCAGAGCUUGGAGAUCCACAUGCACAGAAGAAUAGUGGAACAUCAUUGGUUUUGUCACGGCUACAUCCUCUUUAAACCAGUGCCUAGUCUCUGCCACGCAGUAGGGGCUGGGUAAACAUUGGUUGAAUGAAUGAAUGAGCCAGGCAUAAGAGGGUGUUAAUUUAAGAACUUUCUUAGUAGCAAUAGGUAGUGAGCUCCCUAUUAGUGGGAGGAACCAAGGAGCUGCUAAAUGUCUGGGGUCACGUCUUGAGAAGUAGUGAGGGCCUAGGAGAACCUUCCAUCCCAGAGCGGUAUGAGGCUAACUCAGAAUAACUGGAUCGGGGCUCAAGUCCAAGCAAAGCAAUCCACAUUCGCUGAGACUGCCUGCUUAACCCCUUCGAACCCCAGACCGCUCUGCGCCUCCGCAGGCGCCGGCCUAGUGCAAGCACUCACGCACUGGAGGCUGCGUCUGCCCCCCAGGACCCCCAGACCUGAGAGGCCCCCUCCCCCGCGCCUCCCCCUCGCGAAGCUCAGGCUGGAGAAGACAGGCGUCUGGAGGGCGGCCGGAUGACGCCACUGCGAGCAUUCUUGGCAGGCGCGGGCUCCGGGGGGGCGAGGCGGGCCGCGGGGGCCGCAAUUGGAACUCGCGCGUCAUCUCCGCCCAGGGAUGCAGCCGGCAUCCAGCGCCCGCGCCCCUGCGGCAGGGGGAGGAGGAGACAGGCACCAGCCUCUUUCGCAGCUCUGGACCCCACCCCGGCCCCAACCUGGGACAGAGCGGAGCCCUCGGGCACCCCACCCCUCUUUCCUUCCGACGAUGCCCCCCUACCCUCCACCCCCUCCCGAGCGUCCCUUGACACCCGAUUCCCACAGAGGCCGAGUGACCUGCCCACUCAGCUCCCAGCUCUGUGCGGUUCCCGGGGCCCAAAGCCUUUUCACUGCAAGUGCCAGGCCCAGUGCCCCGGGGUUCACACACGCGUGCGUUCCCGGUCUUGGGGAGGUCAGAAAGCAAGUGGGGCCGAGAGUGGAGCUGGUAGACGCCCCCAGAGAAGGCAUUGCAGGAGGCACUGUUCUAGAGCUGGGUACGGCCCCCCAGAGUUCACCAGGGAGAGAAGAGGGUGUGCGGAGAGGGCAAUCCAGGUGCAGAGAACAGCAUGUGCAAAGGCUCAGAGGUGUGUAGGAGCGCCCCUGUGGCAACAGGCGGGGAACGUGCGCAGAGUGCAGAAGAGAAGGAAGGUUUGGAGAGGGCGGGGAUGUGAAAGGGCUCGAUGCCAGGCGGCAGGUGGAGUUGGGUGCCAAGGAAGGCCGCUGGCCUGUAAGUGUAUGGGAAGUGGGACUGGGGGACGACAACGCGGGAGAUGCCAGCCCCAGCUGAGAAGAGGAAGAGAUGCCAGGGAUGGCCACGUAAAGAGGCGGCAGGAGGGCAGCCAUCUGCAAGCCAAGGAGAGAGGCCUCAGAAGAACCUAACCUGGCCAGCAGCUUGAUCUUGGACUUCCAGCCUCUACAACUGAAAGUCAGCUACCAAGUUGCAAGAAGUCCUAUGGAGAGGUCCAUGUAACCAGGAACUGAGGCCUCCUGCCAACAGCCAUGCGAGUGCGCCAUCUUGGAUGUGGAUCCUCUAGCCCCAAUGAAGCCUUCAGAUGACAGCAAGCCCCGCUGACAAUUUGACUGCAGUCUCUUAAGAGACUCUGAGCUGAAACCACCCUGCUAAGCCACUCCCAGAUUCCUGACCCACAGAAACCAGUGAGAUAAUAAAUAGUUGUUGUUUUAA